GACGAACGCUGGCGGCGUGCUUAACACAUGCAAGUCGAACGGUGAAGCGCCUUCCUUUUUGGUGGGUGAGGAUGAGUGGCGAACGGGUGAGUAACACGUGAGUAACCUGCCCCCUUCUUCUGGAUAACCGCAUGAAAGUGUGGCUAAUACGGGAUAUUCUGGGUCUGUCGCAUGAUGGGUCUGGGAAAGAUAUUGUUUCGGUGGGGAUGGGCUCGCGGCCUAUCAGCUUGUUGGUGGGGUGAUGGCCUACCAAGGCGGUGACGGGUAGCCGGCCUGAGAGGGUGGACGGUCACACUGGGACUGAGACACGGCCCAGACUCCUACGGGAGGCAGCAGUGGGGAAUAUUGCACAAUGGGCGCAAGCCUGAUGCAGCGACGCCGCGUGAGGGAUGGAGGCCUGCGGGUUGUGAACCUCUUUCGCCAGUGAAGCAGGCCUGCCUCGUUUGUGGGUGGGUUGACGGUAGCUGGAUAAGAAGCGCCGGCUAACUACGUG
rnacentral:rRNA from 1 species